GAUGAACGCUAGCUACAGGCUUAACACAUGCAAGUCGAGGGGUAACGAGAGGAAAGCUUGCUUUCCUUGUCGACGACCGGCGCACGGGUGAGUAACGCGUAUCCAACCUGCCCCCAACUAGGGAAUAACCUUGCGAAAGUAAGACUAAUACCCUAUAAUUUCCUCAGAUGACAUCUGACGAGGAAUAAAGAUUUAUCGGUUGUGGAUGGGGAUGCGUCUGAUUAGCUUGUUGGCGGGGUAACGGCCCACCAAGGCAACGAUCAGUAGGGGUUCUGAGAGGAAGGUCCCCCACAUUGGAACUGAGACACGGUCCAAACUCCUACGGGAGGCAGCAGUGAGGAAUAUUGGUCAAUGGGCGGAAGCCUGAACCAGCCAAGUAGCGUGCAGGAUGACGGCCCUAUGGGUUGUAAACUGCUUUUAUACAGGAAUAAAGUUAGCCACGUGUGGUUAUUUGUAGGUACUGUAUGAAUAAGGACCGGCUAAUUCCGUGCCAGCAGCCGCCGUAAGAC
rnacentral:rRNA from 1 species